AGCCUAAUUCCCUGGGGAUCUUGUAAAGUUGCAGAUUCUGACCCAGUAGGUUUGGGAUAGUGCUCAGGAUUCUGCGUUUCUGACAAGUUCUGGGUAAUAUUGAU
rnacentral:pre_miRNA from 1 species